rnacentral:rRNA from 1 species
UACGGGGGGGGGCAAGCGUUGUUCGGAAUUACUGGGCGUAAAGAGCUCGUAGGUGGUUUGUCGCGUCGUCUGUGAAAUUCCGGGGCUUAACUCCGGGCGUGCAGGCGAUACGGGCAUAACUUGAGUACUGUAGGGGAGACUGGAAUUCCUGGUGUAGCGGUGAAAUGCGCAGAUAUCAGGAGGAACACCGAUGGCGAAGGCAGGUCUCUGGGCAGUUACUGACGCUGAGGAGCGAAAGCAUGGGUAGCGAACAGG